rnacentral:rRNA from 1 species
CUAAGUGGGCUUGAUUGUGGGGAAAACUCCACAGUUAAGCGCACUUGAGCCAGAGGCGUAUUGGGAUGGGUGACCACCUGGGAAGUCCUGGUUACCGAGU